rnacentral:rRNA from 1 species
UGAGGAAUCUUCCACAAUGGGCGAAAGCCUGAUGGAGCAACGCCGCGUGAAGGAUGAAGGCCUUCGGGUUGUAAACUUCUUUUAUGAGUGAAGAAUAUGACGGUAACUCAUGAAUAAGCACCGGCUAACUACGUGCCAGCAGCCGCGGUCAUACGUAGGGUGCAAGCAUUAUCCGGAGUGACUGGGCGUAAAGAGUUGCGUAGGCGGUUUAGUAAGUGAAUAGUGAAACCUGGUGGCUCAACCAUACAGACUAUUAUUCAAACUGCUAAACUCGAGAAUGGUAGAGGUAACUGGAAUUUCUUGUGUAGGAGUGAAAUCCGUAGAUAUAAGAAGGAACACCAAUGGCGUAGGCAGGUUACUGGACCAUUUCUGACGCUAAGGCACGAAAGCGUGGGGAGCGAACC